GCUGAGAAAUUAAUUAUGUAUAUUUCUACUUUUUUCCUAGGCUAGGGCCCAUGUAGUGUGCGGGGGGUGACCAGAAUCUCAGUACCAUGUGACUAACCCCUCCCCUUCCCCUCCUCUCCUCUGUGUCCUUUUGUCCUUGCUUUCCCCCCCCCCUCUCAGCGUCACUGUGUUGACCACUUCUAUAACAAAUUUACCCAGUGAAUAAACGUAAUUUCUCCUGCUUGGCCAGGUUAUAGAGGCGAAUUUUUCACCUAAUCCCAGAGAAUGGGGAGCCCUUAAUACGAUAAAAUUAAUUCUAUAAUGGUAAGGUCUUAAACCAGCUCAAACAAAUCCCAGAUAAUUACGCCGCGCCAAUGAGGUUGACGAAUCUGAUAAGUCUUCUUUGCUUCGCUGCCUUGUUACCCCUGUUGCUACGCAAGCCGGGAAGAGAUACCAGACUUUGACUAAUUCCCCAAUUGAUUUCAAAAGUCCAUUGAAUUAAACUUCUUAAAGUAACAACUAUAAAGUAAACAGUAACUUAAUUAUUCAUAUUUUUCAUCCCUGAACUCACAACCUAGUCGCCCCCCCCCCCACUAAAAACAAAAUUAUAACUUAAUAAAUUUCCCCAUUGGAAACCUUUAUCCUUAGUUUCCCGCCGAUUUCCUCACAAGCAAAGCCAGUCUCUCUCGGAUUCUCCUCAGGUGAGCAUGCAGUCUGAUAGUCUCCCCCUCCAUUCCUGUAAUAUUAAGUGUUUAUUUAACAAUAAUUUUACUAAAGCCAGUCUCUCUCGGAUUCUCCUCAGAUAUUCCUGUUGAUAAACUGUUUUCUGAGUGGAUAGAUAUUCGCAUUUUUUCGUUCUUCUUUUGUUGGUUUUCUCCACGGGACUAGUGAAACCACCUGGUUCGAGAUCACCGUGUGAGACUGUCCUCAGGUAUAUACAUACUUUUUGGAUAUAUAUUUGUUAUUUAUUUAUUUAUUCUCUGGUCUCCCCCGCAAUUCAGUAGUCGCGAAAAUAUCUCCAUCGUAGUUUUUAUGUAAUUGAAGAAUACGCUACCAUUUAUUUUGUAUUUCUGAAUUAUGUAACUGAAGAGUAAGCUAUCAUUUAUUUUUGUAUUUCUGAAUUAUGUAACUGAAGAGUACGCUACCAUUUAUUUUGUAUUUCUGAAUUGCUUUCUUUUUAUUAUUAUUAUUUCGGAUUAUUCCAUUAUUUAUUAAAAAUCAUAAAAGUGUCAGUACUUGUAUUUCUUUUAAUCCAGUGAUAGGAUUUGUAAUUAUCGUCUGCCACAAGGGAACAUCACACUCCUUAGAGGGCACUAAAACCACACUCAACUGUCCUCACAAUGCUUUCAUCAUGGCUAUUGAAACCCUUAAGAACAAGGAGACAAUGAUUCACCGACACUGAGGCCUUAACCUUGGUGGAGGUGUAGGAUUGGGGUGCUGACAGCAAAACUCGCACCACAAAUGGGAGUCAUGCGACAUUGUUUACAAACUUUGAUAAAGUGACCCCUUCUGCCCUUAGUGUAGGGCUAUUCCUCUGAGACUAUGGACCACUUCCUGCUCCUCUGCCAGUGUUUCUACUCCCAUCACACUGCACUUCGCUACCCACUCUCCGCCCUGCUGAGCAUCACAUCUCUUAGCCUUCCCAGACUCACCCGUCUUCCCUUCACAGCAAUUGCCUAUCCUGAGGUCCAGAGGAAAUUUAAGGACCUCCGACCCAUGUCAAGAGCAAGGCUGCUACAGAACAGUGUCACACUGCAGGCACUGGUGGGGGACCUCCAGAUGAGACAACAUGCACUGCUGUGGAGUUGGGCAUGCUGCAGAUGUUGUCUCUCACAGCAUUUGCAGGACUGCCAUACCCUGAAAGUGAUGGAGCCACACUGCUGUCAGGGCCUCUAGAAGGAACAUAGCCUUCCACCAGCAGUGGUGUUGGAGAUAUCCAACCCUCUUCUGCUGGUGUUGCUGGGUCUGCAGGGGCCUCUGGAUUUGACAAUGCUUUGUCAUCUGCACUGGAUGAGAGCAUCUUUGUUCAAAUUAUCCAUGUUACAGAUGACUACAUGCAAUGGUGGCCACUCAGACUUGGAAGUUCUCUCUCAAGCGCUAGAAACCCAACAGCAGAUUCGUCUGAGCAUGGAUGAGCUGGUGACGGUGCUGUACAAAACAUGUCCCAGACACUUCAACAAUCUGAAGUGCAGAGGAACAUUCUGCAUUCAUUGCAGCAGCUGGUAACACUUGCUGAGCACUUCAUUAAUGUCAAUACUAGCCAGCAAUAAUUUUUAGAAUUCUAAUGUUUCCCUUUCAUAACUUUACCUUUAUUAAGUUACUAAGUUAUAAGACUAAGUUAUGAAAUUAAGUUACAUUAAGUUAUAUUUCUUUUCUGUAGCUUUAAGUUGUAGCAAUUCUAUCAUUUAUCUAGAGCAGCAUGUUAAUGUUAGUACAAUAUAAUACCAAAGUAUUUCUUCACUGUGAUACCUACAAUUCUUUUAUGUUACCUAAAGUACAAAAAUAAGAUUAGUGUUUUGUGGUGACUUGCUGGUGGGCAUUUCUACAAAUAUAUUUAUUUACUUUUUUUUCUUUUUACAGGACCUGAACCAUACUCAUGCUAUAUUUUUUUCUUUUUCUUGCAAAGACUUUGGUAAUUUGUAAUCAUUUAUUUUUUUUUAAAUAUAUCUACAGCAAUUUUUGUA